rnacentral:tRNA from 1 species
AGGUGUAUAGUUUAGUGGUAGAGCAUUCGACUGCAGAUCGGAAGGUCCCCGGUUCAAACCCGGGUGCCCCCA